AACGAACGCUGGCGGCAUGCCUAACACAUGCAAGUCGAACGAGACCUUCGGGUCUAGUGGCGCACGGGUGCGUACCGCGUGGGAACCUGCCCUUAGGUUCGGAAUACCUCCCCGAAAGGGGUGCUAAUACCGGAUAAUGUCUUCGGACCAAAGAUUUAUCGCCUUUGGAUGGGCCCGCGUUGGAUUAGCUAGUUGGUAGGGUAAAAGCCUACCAAGGCGACGAUCCAUAGCUGGUCUGAGAGGAUGAUCAGCCACACUGGGACUGAGACAAGGCCCAGACUCCUACGGGAGGCAGCAGUGGGGAAUAGUGGACAAUGGGCGAAAGCCUGAUCCAGCAAUGCCGCGUGAGUGAUGAAGGCCUUAGGGUUGUAAAGCUCUUUUACCCGGGAUGAUAAUGACAGUACCGGGAGAAUAAGCUCCGGCUAACUCCGU
rnacentral:rRNA from 1 species